AAGAAAACGAGAAGGGACGGACAAAACACAAACUUCCAACUCUAACUUCAGUUGGAAGUUUGUGUUUUGUCCGUCCUUUCUCGUUUUCUU
rnacentral:pre_miRNA from 1 species